rnacentral:ribozyme from 1 species
UGCCCAGCAUCUCCUAUCCCUACCUCUUGGUGGUACUGGCCGGGGUACGACUAACCUCAGGGAAGAUCGGGCAACCAACGUCGGUGGGAACUUUGGUCGUAUGCUAACAGGGAAGG